UCCAGACUCCUACGGGAGGCAGCAGUGAGGAAUAUUGGUCAAUGGACGAGAGUCUGAACCAGCCAAGUAGCGUGAAGGAUGACUGCCCUAUGGGUUGUAAACUUCUUUUAUAAAGGAAUAAAACGAGGCACGUGUGCCUUUUUGCAUGUACUUUAUGAAUAAGGAUCGGCUAACUCCGUGCCAGCAGCCGCGGUAAUACGGAGGAUCCGAGCGUUAUCCGGAUUUAUUGGGUUUAAAGGGUGCGUGGGCGGACUUUUAAGUCGGGGGUAAAAGCCCGGGGCUCACCCCCGGCGAGCCGUUGAAACUGGCUGUCUUGAGAUGUCGAGAGGUAUGCGGAAUGCGCAGUGUAGCGGUGAAAUGCUUAGAUAUUGCGCAGAACUCCGAUUGCGAAGGCAGCAUACCGGCGCUCAACUGACGCUCAUGCACGAAAGCGUGGGUAUCGAACAGGAUUAGAUACCCCAGUA
rnacentral:rRNA from 1 species